rnacentral:lncRNA from 1 species
CUGGCAACUGAUACUCUCAAUCUGGCUUGCAGACAGAAAGGCAGUGUGGAAGUGUCUUCAUGAAGGAAACCAACUUUGGAGCUGCCUGGGAAUUGGAUCAUCUUUAAGAAGAGGUUGAGGGAAUCUAAAGAGUCAGAAUUAUUCCUUCUACCAUCUCCUGGGGGAGGAAGGAAGAUAUACCUUGGAGGAAAUAUACUGUUGCCCACAAUCAGAGAAACAAAUCAGAAGCUUACAUAUCUAGAAGACUCAGCUAAAAUACUGCCUCCUCUACCAUAAAACUGUCCCCAACAACCCCAGCUGAAAGUGACCUCUCUUCACUAUGAACUCUUUAGGUUUCUCCCUCCUUCGUGAUGCAUUGCUGAUACAGAAUCCUAAGGAGAAAGCCUCCCAAUCCAGCCCCACUCUAAAUCAGGGGCCUCUCCCUGAAGACAAUCUGGAACCAUCUAUUUUCUUUAUUGAAGUUGGAAGCUGAAAAGAUCAGGAAAGACUUCUUUCACAAAUUUUCACCAACUCCACCCUUCAGGCUGACAAGGAUCAUUGAAUGAUCAGUCUCUUCCAGUGAAGAAAGUCUUAUAUUAUAAAGCCUGUGAUUUAUUGAAAUUCAGUCUUGAAGCACUGAAGAUUAUUCCCCUAGUAUUGGAACAAGGUACAGAAGAAAUCAAGCUUCUCUUUUAUUCAAAAAUUCUUUGGAAAAUAUUCAUAGCUGUGCUCUUUGUGGUGGCCAAAAAUUGGAAAACGAGGGGAUGCCCAUCAAUUGGGGAAUGGCUGAACAAAUUGUGGUAUAUGUUGGUGAUGGAAUAUUAUUGUGCAAAAAGGAAUAAUAAAGUGGAGGAAUUCCAUGGAGACUGGAACA